rnacentral:rRNA from 1 species
UCCGUAGGUGAACCUGCGGAGGGAUCAUUAGUGAAACACAAGAGCGCUCUUCAUUGAGGCUCGUUUUAACUAUCCAUUACACUUAGUGCACUUGAAACUUAACACUUUGCUAGUCAAAGUCGUUUACAUUAUAACCCCUUUGAAUUUAUUUGUUUGAUGAUGAUGUAUAAACCUUGAAAUGAAAGAAACAACUUUCAGCAACGGAUUUCUUGGCUCUCGCAUCGAUGAAGAACGCAGCGAAAUGCGAUACGUAAUGUGAAUUGCAGAACUCAGUGAAUCAUCGAAUUUUUGAACGCACCUUGCGCUCUCUAGUUAUUCUGGAGAGCAUGCUUGUUUGAGUGUCGCGAACCUCUCAACCCCGCCAAAGGCUUUAUUGACUUUGGUAGUUUGGGCUUUGGAUCAUGAUCUUUUGUUGGCCGCAAGGUCUUAACUGGAUUGAAAUACAACAAGUUGAUAGAAUUUCUGAACGGCUUGACCUGAUGUUGUAAUCUACUCAUCGGGGACGUUUGAUUUGAAACGACUUUAACAGAAACCCCUUACGUUUGUCCCGUUCGAAAGGCUUCGGUCUUAGAACACCUCAAACACUUUAUGACCUCAAAUCAAGUAGGACUACCCGCUGAACUUAAGCAUAUCAAUAAGCGGAGGA